rnacentral:rRNA from 1 species
AUUGAACGCCGGCGGCAUGCUUUACACAUGCAAGUCGAACGGCAGCAUAGGUGCUUGCACCUGAUGGCGAGUGGCGAACGGGUGAGUAAUAUAUCGGAACAUGUCCGGAAGUGGGGGAUAACGUAGCGAAAGUUACGCUAAUACCGCAUAUGCCCUGAGGGGGAAAGGGGGGGAUCGCAAGACCUCUCGCUUUCGGAGUGGCCGAUAUCGGAUUAGCUAGUAGGUGAGGUAAAGGCUCACCUAGGCGACGAUCCGUAGCUGGUCUGAGAGGACGACCAGCCACACUGGGACUGAGACACGGCCCAGACUCCUACGGGAGGCAGCGGUGGGGAAUUUUGGACAAUGGGCGCAAGCCUGAUCCAGCCAUGCCGCGUGAGUGAAGAAGGCCUUCGGGUUGUAAAGCUCUUUCAGCCGGAAAGAAAUCGUACUUAUUAAUACUAAGUGCGGAUGACGGUACCGGAAGAAGAAGCACCGGCUAACUACGUGCCAGCCGCCGCUGUAA